rnacentral:snRNA from 1 species
GACCUUGAACAAUUACCAUAGCCAAUGAGGUUUAUCCAAGGCAUGAUUAUUGCUAAUUGCAAACUUUUCCCACUACCCCACCAUGACGACUUGAAUAAUACUUUAAGAAAAGAUUUGGCAGGAGCAGGAAACUGC